rnacentral:rRNA from 1 species
GACGAUCAGAUACCGUCGUAGUCUUAACUAUAAAUGAUACUGACCAGGGAUAGGAUACUGUCCAUCUCGACUCUUCCCGGACCUUGGAGAAAUCAGAGUCUUUGAGUUCUGGGGGGAGUAUGGUCGCAAGGCUGAAACUUAAAGGAAUUGACGGAAGGGCACACAAAGAGUGGAACCUGCGGCUUAAUUUGACUCAACACGGGAAAACUCACCAGGUCCGGAUACACGUAUGAAAGACAAGCUGAAAGACUUUUCUCAAUGAUGUAAGUGGUGGUGCAUGGUCGUUCUUAGUUCGUGGAGUGAUUUGUCUGGUCUAUUCCGAUAACGAGCGAGACCCCGACGUUCCUAAUAGGGGUAGCAGCCCGGCUCGACCGCAAGGUCUUGUUAGCCGCUACCUCAUACAAGCUUCUUAGACGUAUCAGAGCCGAUAAGGUUCUUGAAAUGGGUUAAUAACAGGUCAGUCAUGCCCUUAGAUGUUCUGGGCCGCACGCGCGUUACAAUGGCAUGUA